rnacentral:rRNA from 1 species
AUUGAACGCUGGCGGCAGGCCUAACACAUGCAAGUCGAGCGAGUGGCGGACGGGUGAGUAAUGUCUGGGAAACUGCCUGAUGGAGGGGGAUAACUACUGGAAACGGUAGCUAAUACCGCAUACCAUCAGAUGUGCCCAGAUGGGAUUAGCUUGUGGGUGGGGUACUGGCUCACCUAGGCGACGAUCCCUAGCUGGUCUGAGAGGAUGACCAGCCACACUGGAACGGAGACACGGUCCAGACGCCUACGGGAGGCAGCAGUGGGGAAUAUUGCACAAUGGGCGCAAGCCUGAUGCAGCCAUGCCGCUGGUAUGAAGAAGGCCUUCGGGUUGUAAAGCACUUUCAGCGAGGAGGCGUUACUCGCAGAAGAAGCACCGGCUAACUCCGUGCCAGCAGCCGCGGUAAUAC